UACGUAGGGUGCAAGCGUUAAUCGGAAUUACUGGGCGUAAAGCGUGCGCAGGCGGUUUUGUAAGUCAGAUGUGAAAUCCCCGGGCUUAACCUGGGAACUGCGUUUGAAGCUACAAGGCUAGAGUGUGGCAGAGGGGGGUGGAAUUCCACGUGUAGCAGUGAAAUGCGUAGAGAUGUGGAGGAACACCGAUGGCGAAGGCAGCCCCCUGGGUUAACACUGACGCUCAGGCACGAAAGCGUGGGGAGCAAACAGG
rnacentral:rRNA from 1 species